rnacentral:lncRNA from 1 species
UCAGAAAGAAACACCAGUUUACUUCGUUUUGUGUUUCAGGAAUCAGUGACAUUCAGAGAUGUGGCUGUGGACAUCACCCAGGAGGAAUGGGGAUACCUUGACCCUUCACAGAAGCAGUUGUACAAGGAUGUGAUGCUGGAGAAUUACAGGACCCUGGUUUGCCUGGGACUCGUAUUUUCUAAGCCCCAUUUGAUCUGCCGGUUGGAGCAAGGCAGAGCACCUUGGAUGCCAGAGGGAGCGGCCCCACGACGCAGCCGGACAGAGUGGGAGAUUCCACAUGAAUCCAAAGGAGCGUCUCAGGAAGUGCUACAGGGUAGACUUGAGAGAGAUAGCCCCUGUUUUUUGGAUGAAGCCUUGGAAUGUGAGUCCAGAUCAGAGAGGCAGCAGAACCAUGAGGAGCAGCGUGCCUGGUCAGUGACGUUCCCACAAACAAAGCCUCCGAAUCAGUCAGGAGGCCUCGAAUGUGCUAUAGGCUGUGGAAAGAGUGUCCUUCGGGGACCAGUUCUCUUCCCACAGCAAAGAGAUGAGAAGAGUCUAACUAUGUGUGACUCUCAUAGAAAGUGCUUCAGACCGUAUACAGAUGUGAGAAAAUGUAACGGAUUAUGCUCAAAGAAAAUUCUUUCUAAAUGUAAUCAAUAUGGGAAAUCCUAUU